rnacentral:rRNA from 1 species
CUAAGUGAGCUACUUCAGAACAGCCUAAAGGGCUAACCCGUCUCUGUUGCAAAAGAGUGGGAUGAUUUUUAAGUAGCGGUGACAAGCCUACCGAACUUAGAGAUAGCUGGUUACUUAAGAAAAGAAUAUUAGUUCUCUCCUAAGUCUUAUUUUGAACAAAAAAUUUCCCUAGACUUAGGUGUUAUUCAAAUAAGGCACAGCUUAUUUGAACUAGGAUACAACCUCGAACAUAGGGUAAUAUAAAAAGAUAAAUUCAGCAAGUGGGCCCAAGAGCAGCCAUCUUUAAAAAAGCGUCAAAGCUUAGCUUAAUUAAUCUCCUUAAUGUAUUAAUUAUAAAUUAACCCCUCAUCAAUAUUAAGUAACUCCAUAUUUUUAUGGUAGCUAUAAUGCUAGAACUAGUAACAAGAAAAAGAUUUUCUCCAAAAUGUAAGCUUAAGCCAUAAUAGACAAUCUACUGGCAAUCAACGCAAAUGAAUUAACUAUAAUAACACUACUCAAGAAAACCCUAUAAUCUCUAACGUCAAUCUUACACUAGAACAU